GCGAAAAUUAGGGAAGCAAAGGAAAUACCGUCUGCCGCAAAACUAGGGGUUUUUGAAUUACCCGUCCGCUGGUGAACGGGAAAAACGGAUUGGUUAGUAUUUUUAUGUAGUUGUCAAUCAACGGCUAAAUUCGGUUAAAUGUUAAUCAUUAACCAAAUGUUUUGACGUUUUGAAAUUAGUUGACGUCAAGUCAGACCAGAAAUGGAAUACCAUAAUAAAAGAAGCAAAUUUAAAGAUACAAGCUGAAAAAUAACACUAUAAGUAGUGUUUUUGAUAGCGAUUCGUACAAGAAUAUUUAACAAAGAAGAUACGUCCGAAGGGGCCGAAGUUAUGAUCGGCGAAAGGUAUGGGCUAGUCUAUAUUUUCGUUCAGACAAUUACAUGCGUAUUUAAUAAUUUCAGUGAUAAUAUACGAUCUCGCUUGACUUUCAAAGGACAUAAAUCACAAUAAUGUUGACAUUUUACUAAAACUAUCGAUAGAAAUUAGGAGAUAUUUCUUCACUGAAUCGAACGGUGGGAUUUUCAUAUAGCCAUAGGCCCGUCAUGUUCUGAACCAAAGAUACUUGAUAGAUAUACGAACCUCCAAAGUAUAAACUAGGGGCCGGUUGAUGCAGUAUUAAUUAUCAAAUAACAGUUAAACUCUUAUAUACCCGUUGAAUAUGUAUAGUUGUAAACAAAUAAACACUAUCGUUCUAUAAGGUCUAUAAGGUUCAAAACUUUCAGUUUGGUUGUUGACUGAUGAUGAAUCUAUAGCAUAGACUUGCAUGCUUUGUAUUUUGAGCUUAUUAAACCACCGUUUUAAGGCAGCUAAACGGGCUUGGUUUAUAUUAACACAUAAAAUAAAUUCCUUGAUUCUCAUCACUAGACACAGUCUACACUUUGAAAUGUCGAAGACAGUGGGAGAUUUAUUUUUUAUAUUUUAUAUUUAUAUAAUUUAUAUAUCAAUAGUUCGUAUCUCCACGAACAAUGACAGAAUGACUGAAUUUCCUUAAAAUACAAUGAAAUUUCAUUCAAAAUUCUGUUUGUUUCAAAUUGGAAGUUUAAAAUGGCAAUAAAAACCCUAUAUAAAAUAUAAAAAAAUUAACUGUCUCGAAUUAUUUUGCGGUCGGGCGGUACAUUUAUAUUGUAUAACAAAAUAUAAAACAUUUUCACGAGGAUUUUAAAAUUCAGUCGGGCGGUGAUGAGAAUCAAGGAAUUUAUUUUAUGUUGGGCAGUUGGGACUUGGGAGCAACUUGGGAGUGGCUAAUUUUGAAUAUUUACUUAAUGACAUCUAUAAAUAGCUUUGAUGCUUCAGGGGCGGUAGUUCAUUUACACCUAGUUUUGCGGCAGGCGGUAUUUCCUACGUACCGCCUGCCAUGCAGGCUA